AAUUCGAGCGGACAGAAGGGAGCUUGCUCCCGGAUGUUAGCGGCGGACGGGUGAGUAACACGUGGGUAACCUGCCUGUAAGACUGGGAUAACUCCGGGAAACCGGAGCUAAUACCGGAUAGUUCCUUGAACCGCAUGGUUCAAGGAUGAAAGACGGUUUCGGCUGUCACUUACAGAUGGACCCGCGGCGCAUUAGCUAGUUGGUGGGGUAAUGGCUCACCAAGGCGACGAUGCGUAGCCGACCUGAGAGGGUGAUCGGCCACACUGGGACUGAGACACGGCCCAGACUCCUACGGGAGGCAGCAGUAGGGAAUCUUCCGCAAUGGACGAAAGUCUGACGGAGCAACGCCGCGUGAGUGAUGAAGGUUUUCGGAUCGUAAAGCUCUGUUGUUAGGGAAGAACAAGUGCGAGAGUAACUGCUCGCACCUUGACGGUACCUAACCAGAAAGCCACGGCUAACUACGUGCCAGCAGCCGCGGUAAUACGUAGGUGGCAAGCGUUGUCCGGAAUUAUUGGGCGUAAAGGGCUCGCAGGCGGUUUCUUAAGUCUGAUGUGAAAGCCCCCGGCUCAACCGGGGAGGGUCAUUGGAAACUGGGAAACUUGAGUGCAGAAGAGGAGAGUGGAAUUCCACGUGUAGCGGUGAAAUGCGUAGAGAUGUGGAGGAACACCAGUGGCGAAGGCGACUCUCUGGUCUGUAACUGACGCUGAGGAGCGAAAGCGUGGGGAGCGAACAGGAUUAGAUACCCUGGUAGUCCACGCCGUAAACGAUGAGUGCUAAGUGUUAGGGGGUUUCCGCCCCUUAGUGCUGCAGCUAACGCAUUAAGCACUCCGCCUGGGGAGUACGGUCGCAAGACUGAUACUCAAACGAAUUGACGAGGGCCCUCUCAGCGGUGGUGAAGUGGUUUAAUUCAAGCAAGGAAAA
rnacentral:rRNA from 1 species